AAAGUAUACGGGGCAGUGCAGGAACGAAACAGUGACCUGUGGAGUGGGCGUCUCCGCCGCCUCCCCCUGACCAACCCCUUUCUAUCUGGGAACUCCCCAGGGGAACACCAGGAAGCGCAGGACUGGACCUCAGUUCCACCUCCCGAGUGGUAUUAACUCCCCAAAUGGGACCCCAGAUGCUGCCUAUUGGGGUUUUUGGACCCCUGCCAGAGGGGACGGUGGGACCAGUGUUGGGACGAGUUAGCGCACCUCAGUGGGGAUUGAAGAUUCUUACGGGGGUUGUUGAUGCUGAUUAUCAGGGAGAGAUAAAAAUAGUAGUAG
rnacentral:lncRNA from 1 species